AAUAAAUGCGGCAAUGUGGUUGUUGUUGCUGACGAUCAACACAAUUGUAACGAUCGUCACAUUUUUGUUAAGUCAAUAGUAAUAUUUUUUUCUUAUUUAUCUCUACUCAACCUUGAAGAGGAUGCUCAAUUGGCCAGAAUAAAUUCUGUGUAUUAAAGGAACAUGAGAAGAAACGAUAGUACGAACUAAGGUCAAAACCAUGUUGACCUAACAAGUGAGCUGUUACAAGACAAAUAUUAUAAAGGAAAAAAUGUUCGACUACAUUAAGUUUCGAAAAAAUAACAAGAUGGGAAACUGCUACUUUCUUGAUUUUUAUGUAUCAAAUCAAAGAACAAUGGUUAUGUAACAAAUCGAGUUGAAUAUAACCCUGUACUCAAAAA